CAGGGAAACAAGAUAGUUGGGUGCAACAAGUUGGAAAGCCUGCUGAAAACAGCGAUUACCAUCACAGCUUACCUUUGGGCCAAGAUACAGUGCCAAACUUAUUAACUGAAGAUUUUAGGGAAGCAAAAGAGGUUUACUUUAAGAAAUUACAAAAGGAAAAU